rnacentral:rRNA from 1 species
AUUGAACGCUGGCGGCAGGCUUAACACAUGCAAGUCGAGCGGAGAUGAGGUGCUUGCACCUUAUCUUAGCGGCGGACGGGUGAGUAAUGCUUAGGAAUCUGCCUAUUAGUGGGGGACAACAUUCCGAAAGGAAUGCUAAUACCGCAUACGUCCUACGGGAGAAAGCAGGGGAUCUUCGGACCUUGCGCUAAUAGAUGAGCCUAAGUCGGAUUAGCUAGUUGGUGGGGUAGAGGCCUACCAAGGCGACGAUCUGUAGCGGGUCUGUGAGGAUGAGCCGCCACACUGGGACUGAGACACGGCCCAGACUCCGACGGGAGGCAGCAGUGGGGAAUAUUGGACAAUGGGGGAAACCCUGAUCCAGCCAUGCCGCGUGUGUGAAGAAGGCCUUAUGGGUGUAAAGCACUUUAAGCGAGGAGGAGGCUACUGAGACUAAUACUCUUGGAUAGUGGACGUUACUCGCAGAAUAAGCACCGGCUAACUCUGUGCCAGCAGCCGCGGUAA